rnacentral:rRNA from 1 species
AGCAGCCGCGGUAAUUCCAGCUCCAAUAGCGUAUAUUAAAGUUGUUGCAGUUAAAAAGCUCGCAGUUGAAUUUCGGGAUUGACACAUCGGUCGUGCCUUAAGGGGUAUGAACUGGUGUAGUCAAUUUCUCACCUUCUGGAGAACCGCGAUGCCCUUAAUUGGGUGUCGCGAGGAACCAGGACCUUUACUUUGAAAAAUUAGAGUGUUUAAAGCAGGCAUUUUGCUUGAAUACAUUAGCAUGGAAUAAUAAAAUAGGACGGCAUGAUUCUAUUUUGUUGGUUUUAGGAUCACCGUAAUGAUUAAUAGGGAUAGUUGGGGGCAUUAGUAUUCAAUUGUCAGAGGUGAAAUUCUUGGAUUUAUUGAAGACUAACUACUGCGAAAGCAUUUGCCAAGGAUGUUUUCAUUAAUCAAGAACGAAAGUUAGGGGAUCGAAGACGAUCAGAUACCGUCGUAGUCUUAACCAUAAACUAUGCCGACUAGGAAUCAGACGAUGUUAAUUUUUAAUGA